GACGAACGCUGGCGGCGUGCUUAACACAUGCAAGUCGAACGAUGAAGCUGGAGCUUGCUCCAGUGGAUUAGUGGCGAACGGGUGAGUAACACGUGAGCAAUCUGCCCUUGACUCUGGGAUAACUGCGGGAAACUGUAGCUAAUACCGGAUACGACACCUUGGGGCAUCCCGGGGUGUGGAAAGAAUUUCGGUCAAGGAUGAGCUCGCGGCCUAUCAGCUUGUUGGUGAGGUAAAGGCUCACCAAGGCGACGACGGGUAGCCGGCCUGAGAGAGUGACCGGCCACACUGGAACGGAGACACGGUCCAGACGCCUACGGGAGGGAGCAGUGGGGAAUAUUGCACAAUGGGCGAAAGCCUGAUGCAGCAACGCCGCGUGAGGGAUGACGGCCUUCGGGUUGUAAACCUCUUUUAGCAGGGAAGAAGCGAAAGUGACGGUACCUGCAGAAUAAGCACCGGCUAACUACGUGCCAGCCGCCGCCGUAA
rnacentral:rRNA from 1 species